GACGAACCGUGCGAACGUUGUUCGGAAUCACUGGGCUUAAAGGGCGCGUAGGCGGGCCAUAAAGUCAGGGGUGAAAUCCUCCAGCUUAACUGGAGAACUGCCUUUGAUACUGAUGGUCUCGAGUAAGGUAGGGGCAUGCGGAACUGAUAGUGGAGCGGUGAAAUGUGUUGAUAUCAUCAGGAACUCCGGUGGCGAAGGCGGCAUGCUGGACCUUCACUGACGCUGAGGCGCGAAAGCUAGGGUAGCGAACGGG
rnacentral:rRNA from 1 species